rnacentral:lncRNA from 1 species
AUUUAGACAGAUACACAAAUAACACAGUCACAUUUGCAUCACUGCACCCUCUUUGAUUUGUUUGUGUUUCUCCUCAGCAGCUUUGGAGCUCCAAGAUGAGAGGAAGGGAGGGAGAAAGGAAGGAGAUGCAAUGUACUGCUGCAACAGACAGCUUGUCUGAACUGCUUGUGCAGCCAGUGCUUUGGUCCAUGUGGCUGAGGCCAUCUUCAUUGUCACAAAGAGAGAGGCAGUGCAGAGCCAUGCAACCGCCAACCACCAACCACCGCUAUGGUUCAGAGCAGAGAUUUCUGUGCAGAGGACAUAUCUGUGGACAAGUAGUGAAGAAACCACUGUUCACUUUCUCAGAAGCAUGUGUAGAUGCUGUUUCUCAUCAACCAAUGCACCUCUUUUCAGUAUCCCUUCCCUCUUCCUUUCUGAGGAGGAUGUUGAAACGGGAAGAUCUAGGAGAUGGCACUCUAAAUGCUGGGAGACUACAAUAUGAAGCGCACACCUCUCCCUUUGAUCUUCAUUGGGACUUUAACCUCAAAGCCUCCCCAGGACAACCUCAAAUGAUUGGUUAUAUGGGAAGUUCUGAUAUGUAAUUGAAAUAGUAAUUGAAAAGUAGGACCUGGUCCUUCUCACAUUCACAGGUGGGCAAAUAAACAGGAAUUCUGAGGAAGUCA